GAUCACGGUGGAGCCUCCUGCAGUAGACUGUUUAUACGUACUUUGUUACUUCUACCUUCAUUGAUGCUGUUUUAGACACUGUCGCCAUCACAGUCGUGUCUGCUGAGCUCAUUCAGCAGGGUUGUUGAAAAGUUUGAGGAGUGCAGUGGAGCGGAGGCCGAGUGGACUGGUUAGCAGAUUGUGGAGGACUUCAUGGUGCCCCAAGACCCACAGCUUGACGUUCAGACAGACAGAGUCAGGCAGCUGUGAUGCCUCUCCUUCGAUUCCUCUGUGUCUGUGUCGGUCUUCGUCCGCUCAACCUUGGACAGCAUCCUGAAGCAUCGGGGAGACUUGGCCAAGCUGCUGCUCGCCAAUCAUCCCAAAGUUGUCUGUUGUCUCUAUCCCCCAGGAGAGAACCACAUGUGGAAAGCGGCC